rnacentral:rRNA from 1 species
CCUUGUACACACCGCCCGUCACACCAUGGGAGUUGGUUGCACCAGAAGUAGUUAGCCUAACCGCAAGGGGGCGAUUACCACGGUGUGGUCAAUGACUGGGGUG